GACGAACGCUGGCGGCGUGCUUAACACAUGCAAGUCGAACGGAAAGGCCCUGCUUUUGUGGGGUGCUCGAGUGGCGAACGGGUGAGUAACACGUGAGUAACCUGCCCUUGACUUUGGGAUAACUUCAGGAAACUGGGGCUAAUACCGGAUAGGAGCUCCUGCUGCAUGGUGGGGGUUGGAAAGUUUGGGCGGUUGGGGAUGGACUCGCGGCUUAUCAGCUUGUUGGUGGGGUAGUGGCUUACCAAGGCUUUGACGGGUAGCCGGCCUGAGAGGGGGACCGGCAACAGGGGGACUGGGAUACGGCGCAGACUCCUACGGGAGGCAGCAGUGGGGAAUAGUGCACAAUGGGCGGAAGCCUGAUGCAGCAACGCCGCGUGCGGGAUGACGGCCUUCGGGUUGUAAACCGCUUUCGCCUGUGGCGAAGCGUGAGUGACGGUAAUGGGUAAAGAAGCACCGGCUAACUACGUGCCAGCAGCCGCGGUAAGAC
rnacentral:rRNA from 1 species